AUGAACGGUGGUGGGAUUGAUGUAGUGAAAGAGAUGAACGGUGGUUGUUCAACGCCCAAGAGGUGGGAGUGUCAGAUACAUACGGCGUUGGUUCCUCCUCUACCACCAAAGAAGAAGCCAUUUUCAUUUGGAAGAAAGAAAAAAGUGGCUCCCAAAAAUGGAUACUUUUAUCCACCUGAAGAUGAUCUCGAGAAACUCUUCUCUCUUUUGAAUCCAACUCCUAACCCUAAUUAA